AGCAGUCGCCGCGGUAAAACGAAGGGUGCAAGCGUUAAUCGGAAUUACUGGGCGUAAAGCGUGCGUAGGCGGUUUGUUAAGUCUGCUGUGAAAUCCCCGGGCUCAACCUGGGAAUGGCAGUGGAUACUGGCAAGCUAGAGUGUGUCAGAGGAUGGUGGAAUUCCCGGUGUAGCGGUGAAAUGCGUAGAGAUCGGGAGGAACAUCAGUGGCGAAGGCGGCCAUCUGGGACAACACUGACGCUGAGGCACGAAAGCGUGGGGAGCAAACAGGAUUAGAUACCCCCGUAGUCCCUGUCUCUUAUAC
rnacentral:rRNA from 1 species